rnacentral:lncRNA from 1 species
AUUGACCACACACAAAGAACCCAUGCUUCCUCUCUUCUCUUGCCCAGAGUGGAUAAGGAUGGGUUGGUUUGUAUUUGAAUUCAAAUUCGAUUUGAAUUUAAGUGAGCAACCACCUAUCUUUAUCCUCUCACGCGGAUAAGACACGUCUUGCACUGUUUUAAAAGAGAAGAGAAGGUGGGGCAUGCAUAGAAUUUUUUUGAGAGAGAAUAGUGGGUGUGAGGAAGCCUUGUGCAUGAGUUGGAAGUUCAAAAACUUUCGAGAGAAAAGAAAAGAAAAGAAAGAAAAGUGGGCGC